rnacentral:rRNA from 1 species
AUUGAACGCUGGCGGCAUGCCUUACACAUGCAAGUCGAACGGCAGCACGGGAGCUUGCUCCUGGUGGCGAGUGGCGAACGGGUGAGUAAUACAUCGGAACGUACCCUGAAGUGGGGGAUAACGUAGCGAAAGUUACGCUAAUACCGCAUAUUCUGUGAGCAGGAAAGAGGGGGAUCGCAAGACCUCUUGCUUUAGGAGCGGCCGAUGUCGGAUUAGCUAGUUGGUGAGGUAAAGGCACACCAAGGCGACGAUCCGUAGCGGGUCUGAGAGGAUGAUCCGCCACACUGGGACUGAGACACGGCCCAGACUCCUACGGGAGGCAGCAGUGGGGAAUUUUGGACAAUGGGCGCAAGCCUGAUCCAGCCAUGCCGCGUGAGUGAAGAAGGCCUCGGUUGUAAG